GACGAACGCUGGCGGCGUGCUUAACACAUGCAAGUCGAACGGAAAGGCCCUGCUUUUGUGGGGUGCUCGAGUGGCGAACGGGUGAGUAACACGUGAGUAACCUGCCCUUGACUUUGGGAUAACUUCAGGAAACUGGGGCUAAUACCGGAUAGGAGCUCCUGCUGCAUGGUGGGGGUUGGAAAGUUUCGGCGGUUGGGGAUGGACUCGCGGCGUAUCAGCUUGUUGGUGGGGUAGUGGCUUACCAAGGCUUUGACGGGUAGCCGGCCUGAGAGGGUGACCGGCCACAUUGGGACUGAGAUACGGCCCAGACUCCUACGGGAGGCAGCAGUGGGGAAUAUUGCACAAUGGGCGGAAGCCUGAUGCAGCAACGCCGCGUGCGGGAUGACGGCCUUCGGGUUGUAAACCGCUUUCGCCUGUGACGAAGCGUGAGUGACGGUAAUGGGUAAAGAAGCACCGGCUAACUACGUGCCAGCAGCCGCGGUGAUACGUGGGGUGCGAGCGUUGUCCGGAUUUAUUGGGCGUAAAGGGCUCGUAGGUGGUUGAUCGCGUCGGAAGUGUAAUCUUGGGGCUUAACCCUGAGCGUGCUUUCGAUACGGGUUGACUUGAGGAAGGUAGGGGAGAAUGGAAUUCCUGGUGGAGCGGUGGAAUGCGCAGAUAUCAGGAGGAACACCAGUGGCGAAGGCGGUUCUCUGGGCCUUUCCUGACGCUGAGGAGCGAAAGCGUGGGGAGCGAACAGGCUUAGAUACCCUGGUAGUCCACGCUGUAAACGGUGGGUACUAGGUGUGGGGUCCAUUCCACGGGUUCCGUGCCGUAGCUAACGCUUUAAGUACCCCGCCUGGGGAGUACGGCCGCAAGGCUAAAACUCAAAGGAAUUGACGGGGCCCCGCACAAGCGGCGGAGCAUGCGGAUUAAUUCGAUGCAACGCGUAGAACCUUACCUGGGUUUGACAUGGAUCGGGAGUGCUCAGAGAUGGGUGUGCCUCUUUUGGGGUCGGUUCACAGGUGGUGCAUGGCUGUCGUCAGCUCGUGUCGUGAGAUGUUGGGUUAAGUCCCGCAACGAGCGCAACCCUUGUUCACUGUUGCCAGCACGUUAUGGUGGGGACUCAGUGGAGACCGCCGGGGUCAACUCGGAGGAAGGUGGGGAUGACGUCAAGUCAUCAUGCCCCUUAUGUCCAGGGCUUCACGCAUGCUACAAUGGCUGGUACAGAGAGUGGCGAGCCUGUGAGGGUGAGCGAAUCUCGGAAAGCCGGUCUCAGUUCGGAUUGGGGUCUGCAACUCGACCUCAUGAAGUCGGAGUCGCUAGUAAUCGCAGAUCAGCAACGCUGCGGUGAAUACGUUCCCGGGGCU
rnacentral:rRNA from 1 species